rnacentral:snRNA from 1 species
AUACUUACCUGGCAGGGGAGAUACCAUGAUCACGAAGGUGGUUUUCCCAGGGCGAGGCUUAUCCAUUGCACUCCGGAUGUGCUGACCCCUGCGAUUUCCCCAAAUGUGGGAAACUCGACUGCAUAAUUUGUGGUAGUGGGGGACUGCGUUCGCGCUUUCCCCCG